AGUGAACGCUGGCGGUAGGCCUAACACAUGCAAGUCGAACGGCAGCACAGGAGAGCUUGCUCUCUGGGUGGCGAGUGGCGGACGGGUGAGGAAUACAUCGGAAUCUACUCUGUCGUGGGGGAUAACGUAGGGAAACUUACGCUAAUACCGCAUACGACCUACGGGUGAAAGCAGGGGAUCUUCGGACCUUGCGCGAUUGAAUGAGCCGAUGUCGGGUUAGCUAGUUGGCGGGGUAAAGGCCCACCAAGGCGACGAUCCGUAGCUGGUCUGGGAGGAUGAUCAGCCACACUGGAGCUGAGACACGGUCCAGACUCCUACGGGAGGCAGCAGUGGGGAAUAUUGGACAAUGGGCGCAAGCCUGAUCCAGCCAUACCGCGUGGGUGAAGGAGGCCUUCGGGUUGUAAAGCCCUUUUGUUGGGAAAGAAAUCCAGCUGGCUAAUACCCGGUUGGGAUGACGGUACCCAAAGAAUAAGCACCGGCUAACUUCGUGCCAGCCGCCGCCGUAA
rnacentral:rRNA from 1 species